UACGUAGGGUGCGAGCGUUGGCCGGAAUUACUGGGCGUAAAGAGCUCGUAGGCGGUUUGUCGCGUUGUUCGUGAAAACUCACAACUCAAUUGUGGGCGUGCGGGCGAUACGGGCAGACUGGAGUGCUGCAGGGGAGACUGGAAUUCCUGGUGUAGCGGUGGAAUGCGCAGAUAUCAGGAGGAACACCGGUGGCGAAGGCGGGUCUCUGGGCAGUAACUGACGCUGAGGAGCGAAAGCGUGGGGAGCGAACAGG
rnacentral:rRNA from 1 species